rnacentral:lncRNA from 1 species
UUUGUUCCAUAAACGUAAUGACAUAUUUUUUUCUUCAAACAAGAAUGUGUCAUAAGUACAUGGAUUUCCCAUCCGUACAAUCAUUUUCUAUGUUCACUGGACCGUGAAAAUUAGGUAAAAUCUUGUAUUCGGCAGUAAAAUUAGAAAGAUCAUAUCAUAAGGAACACAUGUGUACUAAGUUUCAAGUUGAUUGGAUUUCAACUUCAUCAAAAACUACCUCGACC